rnacentral:rRNA from 1 species
UACGGGGGGUGCAAGCGUUGUUCGGAAUCAUUGGGCGUAAAGGGCGUGUAGGCGGCUGGGUAAGUCAGAUGUGAAAGCCCUGGGCUUAACUCAGGAAGUGCAUUUGAAACUGUCCAGCUUGAGUAGGGGAGAGGAAGGUGGAAUUCCUGGUGUAGAGGUGAAAUUCGUAGAUAUCAGGAGGAACACCGGUGGCGAAGGCGACCUUCUGGCCCUAUACUGACGCUGAGACGCGAAAGCGUGGGUAGCAAACAGG